UGGGGAAUAUUGCACAAUGGGCGCAAGCCUGAUGCAGCCAUGCCGCGUGUAUGAAGAAGGCCUUCGGGUUGUAAAGUACUUUCAGCGGGGAGGAAGGUGUUGAGGUUAAUAACCUCAGCAAUUGACGUUACCCGCAGAAGAAGCACCGGCUAACUCCGUGCCAGCAGCCGCGGUAAUACGGAGGGUGCAAGCGUUAAUCGGAAUUACUGGGCGUAAAGCGCACGCAGGCGGUCGGUCAAGUCGGAUGUGAAAUCCACGGGCUCAACCUGGGAACUGCAUUCGAAACUGGCAGGCUAGAGUCUUGUAGAGGGGGGUAGAAUUCCAGGUGUAGCGGUGAAAUGCGUAGAGAUCUGGAGGAAUACCGGUGGCGAAGGCGGCCCCCUGGACAAAGACUGACGCUCAGGUGCGAAAGCGUGGGGAGCAAACA
rnacentral:rRNA from 1 species